GCGUGGGUCGGCCCGCUGCACUGGACACUGCGGGCUGGGGGAAACCGCCGCCUCAUUCCCCGCAGGCGGUGGACCGGUCCGGGAGGCCAACCGCGUCUCCCGGACCGUA
rnacentral:ncRNA from 1 species